GGAGGAGUCGCAUAGUGGCCGAGUGCGUCCGCUUGGAGAGCGGAUAUACCGAAAGGUAUCGUGGGUUCGAAUCCCACCUCCUCCGCCA
rnacentral:tRNA from 1 species